ACUUCAGGACGGGGACAACAGUUGGAAACGACUGCUAAUACCCGAUGUGCCGCAAGGUGAAACCUAAUUGGCCUGAAGAAGAGCUUGCGUCUGAUUAGCUAGUUGGUGGGGUAAGAGCCUACCAAGGCGACGAUCAGUAGCUGGUCUGAGAGGAUGAGCAGCCACACUGGGACUGAGACACGGCCCAGACUCCUACGGGAGGCAGCAGUGGGGAAUUUUCCGCAAUGGGCGAAAGCCUGACGGAGCAACGCCGCGUGAGGGAGGAAGGUCUUUGGAUUGUAAACCUCUUUUCUCAAGGAAGAAGUUCUGACGGUACUUGAGGAAUCAGCCUCGGCUAACUCCGUGCCAGCAGCCGCGGUAAUACGGGGGAGGCAAGCGUUAUCCGGAAUUAUUGGGCGUAAAGCGUCCGCAGGUGGUCAGCCAAGUCUGCUGUCAAAUCAGGUUGCUUAACGACCUA
rnacentral:rRNA from 3 species